CCUGCUUCUUCCUCUCCCACUCCCCCUGCUUGUGUUCCCUCUCUCGCUGGCUGUCACUAUCUCUGUCAAAUAAAUAAGUAAAUCUUUAAAAAAAGAAAAAAUAUCUCAUUUCAUCUUCAAAGCUCCACUGUGAGUAGAUGGUAGGAUCCCCAGUUUUGGAAUUAAAAAAUCGUCUUGGAGAACUUAAGUAACUUAAGGUUACAGAGCUGUUCAGGGGCUGGACUAGGGCUUGAAUUGAAAGCCUGUGUUCCUCCAAAGGCCGGGUUUGGUUUUCUACCUGGCUCCCAAGACGACCGGCUGGCAGCUGGGGAAAGAACUAGUUUGGAGAACUGGUGUCAGCCUGACUCUUCCAUUUGCUAACGUGGUGACCUUGAACAUCUCACCCGCUUUUUCGGAGCCUCUGUUUCUCAUGCCUAAAAUGGGGACAGUAGUGCUAAUGACCCGAUUUGCAAGCACGGGAUGAAAUAAUCGGUUAUGGGAAUCUGACGCUGGAGGCACUAACUAUAUGUCCUAUAUUCCCACAUGCGAUUUCGAGCAAUCCCCUUCUCUCUUUGCGUCUUGGUAUCCUCAGCUGUCAAGAUGAUGGGGUGACCCUUAAAGUGCUGGUAGGGAGAACAUUCCAGAAUUGGAUUCCAAUUGGGCCACAAUAAAUAUUCCUGACUCAGAAGUUAAUGGAAAGAACUGGAUCAACUCCCAUCCAGUGUGAUUUUGUUGGUAAUUAUUUAUAAUCAUUGUCGUCUGCAUUCCUUAGCUAGCAGAACCUGACAAUAGCAGGUUGCUGCUGCUUUGUUAGGAGGACAAUCCCCGGGAGCAGAAGCAAGAGAAUGGGAAUGAGACAGAGAAGGAGGGGCAUCUGAGCAGACAUGGCUGGGCUGAUUGCCACUAAGUACUUCCGAUGGCUUUAUUUUGUAGCAACGCCUCCGAAAAGCGGCAUCUCAGGGCAGUCUGAAGUAAAAAGAAGAGAAUGAAUUUAUCUUCCAGUCUCCAUCUUCCAUUGCACAACGUUUGGACCAUGAGGUAGUUCCAGACUCUUACUUCAAAGCAUGCCACUGUUGGUGUCUUACACCCACAUCUUUGAACACGUGGAUGAAUAUCGAUUCUUAGAAGUGAACUUUCUGGGUGGAAAGGAGAAACUCGGUUGUCUCGAGUGGGGGUUGAUAUGAAAAUCCGCUCAAAGCCAAAGGGACAAGUGUUCUUUGGAGACUGAGUGUUGCAACCAUCAAACUAUCCAGCAACCACCCGGAAGAUUUUUCAUUUCCACAAGGCUGGUGUGAGGGAUGCCAGCCUAGGACUGCCCGCAGGAGAAUCAGCAACCACCCUUCAAACCCGACCAAUCAUCUUCUCUGCUGUCUACCGGCUUCCAGAAAACAACUGAUCUUCAAAAGAAGAAAAAUAGCCCUGGAGGUUCUUGUGGUAGAGGAAAUUAAGUAUUAAUUGUAAGGUUGGGUCCAGGUUUUGCGGUUGGCUCUACCGUAUUCAAGCCAUAUUUUCUUUAAAAGUUUGUUAACUGGGGCACCUGGAUGGCUCAGUCGGUUAAGCAUCUGCCUUCCGCUCCGGUCCUGAUCCCAGGGUCCUGGGACCGAGCCCCACCUCAGG